UACAGAGGUGGCAAGCGUUGUUCGGAAUUACUGGGCGUAAAGGGCGCGUAGGCGGUCUUCUAAGUCUUGUGUGAAAUCCCUCGGCUCAACUGAGGAACUGCACGGGAUACUGGAAGACUUGAGUUCGGGAGAGGGAAGCGGAAUUCCGGGUGUAGCGGUGAAAUGCGUAGAUAUCAGGAAGAACACCCGUGGCGAAGGCGGCUUUCUGGGACGGUACUGACGCUGAGACGCGAAAGCGUGGGGAGCGAACAGG
rnacentral:rRNA from 1 species